rnacentral:rRNA from 1 species
UAGGGAAUCUUCCGAAAUGGACGCAAGUCUGACGGAGCAACGCCGCGUGAGUGAAGAAGGAUUUCGGUUCGUAAAACUCUGUUGUUAGAGAAGAACAGCGCAUAGAGUAACUGUUAUGCGUGUGACGGUAUCUAACCAGAAAGCCACGGCUAACUACGUGCCAGCAGCCGCGGUAAUACGUAGGUGGCAAGCGUUGUCCGGAUUUAUUGGGCGUAAAGCGAGCGCAGGCGGUCAAUUAAGUCUGAUGUGAAAGCCCCCGGCUCAACCGGGGAGGGUCAUUGGAAACUGGUUGACUUGAGUGCAGAAGAGGAGAGUGGAAUUCCAUGUGUAGCGGUGAAAUGCGUAGAUAUAUGGAGGAACACCAGUGGCGAAGGCGACUCUCUGGUCUGUAACUGACGCUGAGGUUCGAAAGCGUGGGUAGCAAACAGG